rnacentral:rRNA from 1 species
GGAUUAGAAACCCCGGUAGUCCAUGCCGUAAACGUUGGGCACUAGGUGUGGGGACCAUUCCACGGUUUCCGCGCCGCAGCUAACGCAUUAAGUGCCCCGCCUGGGGAGUACGGCCGCAAGGCUAAAACUCAAAGGAAUUGACGGGGGCCCGCACAAGCGGCGGAGCAUGCGGAUUAAUUCGAUGCAACGCGAAGAACCUUACCAAGGCUUGACAUGUUCUCGAUCGCCGUAGAGAUACGGUUUCCCCUUUGGGGCGGGUUCACAGGUGGUGCAUGGUUGUCGUCAGCUCGUGUCGUGAGAUGUUGGGUUAAGUCCCGCAACGAGCGCAACCCUCGUUCCAUGUUGCCAGCACGUCGUGGUGGGGACUCAUGGGAGACUGCCGGGGUCAACGUCG